rnacentral:rRNA from 1 species
GACGAACGCUGGCGGCGUGCUUAACACAUGCAAGUCGAACGGACUGAAGCGAGAGCUUGCUUUUGCUGAAGUUAGUGGCGGACGGGUGAGUAACGCGUGGGUAACCUGCCCUUAAGAGGGGGAUAACACCGCGAAAGUGGUGCUAAUACCGCAUGAAACUAUUUGAUUGCAUAAUCAGAUAGUCAAAGGAGUAAUCCGCUUAAGGAUGGACCCGCGUCUAAUUAGCUAGUUGGUGGGGUAAAGGCCUACCAAGGCGACGAUCUGUAGCGGGUCUGAGAGGAUGAUCCGCCACACUGGGACUGAGACACGGCCCAGACUCCUACGGGAGGCAGCAGUGGGGAAUAUUGCACAAUGGGGGAAACCCUGAUGCAGCAACGCCGCGUGAGUGAUGACGGUCUUCGGAUUGUAAAGCUCUGUCUUCAGGGACGAUAAUGACGGUACCUGAGGAGGAAGCCACGGCUAACUACGUGCCAGCAGCCGCCGUAAAAC